GAAGCAGCAUAGCCCAGUGCUUAAGCGUGCAAGCUCGGAAGUGACACAGCUGGGUUCCAAUCCUAAAUUCUGCCUCUUGCCAGAUCUGCAUAAACUGGUGGCAAAUUACUUCACUUCUGCAAGCCGCUUGUGCCAUGCCUACAAAUACAGGAUAAGGAGACGUUUAUGGAGGUGACUUACCCAAGGUUUUCCAAGCUGGAUACACACCUGUUCAGGUUUACAUUUCAUGCUGUAAAAGGCUCACGCUGGCUCCAUGUGGAUUGGGGGGGGCAGGGAAAGGAGGCUGCAGUAACUCCUCACGAGAUGAUGACACCGAGAGUUUUAUCAGUGGGGGUGGAGAGAAAGGAACAGAGCAGAGACACAUUCUGGAAGCAGAACAGAUGGCACUUAAGAGACACUGGAUCUUAGAGGUCUUGGAUCUGCCAAAAACAUUUUUAUACUCGAUUCCUAAUUGGCUCUGGAAAUGGGGGCCUUGUGCUAGAGUACAUUUAGAAAGCACUGUUCUCAAGAAGUGGAGUCUUCACAGACAAUACGAUCUAUUGACUGAAAUGCAGCAGGAGGGUCAUUGGAGUUGGGGAAAUACCUUAAAGAAUUGACUCAGGAGACCCGUGUCCUCGGCUUGCUCUGACCACGUGUCAGCUGUGUGACC